rnacentral:rRNA from 1 species
CCUACGGGUGGCAGCAGUCGAGAAUAAUUCACAAUGGGGGAAACCCUGAUGGUGCGACGCAGCGUGGGGGAAUGAAGGUCUUCGGAUUGUAAACCCCUGUUAUGUGGGAGCAAAUUAAAAAGAUAGUACCACAAGAGGAAGAGACGGCUAAUUAUGUGCCAGUAGCCGCGGUAAUGCAGCGGGCUCAAUCGUUGUUCGGAAUCACUGGGCGUAAAGGGUUCGGAGGGUGUUUCGUAAGUCGUGUGUGAAAGGCGCGGGCUCAACCCGCGGAGUGCACAUGAUACUGCGAGACUAGAGUAAAGGAGAGGUAAGCGGAAUUCUCGGUGUAGCAGUGAAAGGCGUAGAUAGCGCGAGGAACACUCAUGGCGAAGGCGGGUUCCUGGACAGCAACUGACGCUGAGGCACGAAGGCCAGGGGAGCGAAAAGGAUUAGAUACCCGAGUAGUC